rnacentral:misc_RNA from 1 species
UGUUGCAUCUGCCUUCUUUUUGAAAGGUAAAAACAAC